rfam:Triticum aestivum genome assembly, contig: Triticum_aestivum_CS42_TGACv1_scaffold_405665_5BL
UAAAUACUCUCUCUGUCCAGAAAUACUUAUCGCAGGGAUGAAUGUAUCUGGACGUAUUUAAGUUCCAGAUACACCUAUUUUUAUCCAUUUCUUCGACAAAUAUCUCUAGACGAAGGGAGUAUUCA